rfam:Schistosoma mattheei strain Denwood, Zambia genome assembly, scaffold: SMTD_scaffold0006896
AUCCAAUUGACGAGUCCAGAAUAGGACAAAACGCGCGUUCUGGAU